AAAAGGGGCAUCAUAGGGAGCAGAACUGGCUAGAGCAUCUCCACCAUCUUCCUUCAAGCACGUGGACUGACACCCAGGCCUCCUGGUGUCCUGACACUGCAGGCUCCUGGAAUAUACCUCCACCAGCAGGCAGGAAUCUGUCCUAUUCCCAGCAACCACUAGAGGCACUGCCUGACCCUACUGCGGCCACAAGCAGAGGGACCCCAGGAUUCUCAACUCUGUUACCUUGUCUCACCUCCCCUAGGAAGGAGAAGAGUGCUAUGAAAAUCUUUAGCUGCUGAUCACAGCUAUAAACGAGAUGAAGAGGGUCCCUGUCCUCUUGGUGUUUCCAGUCUCCCAAAGAAGACAGACAUGAAACAAUGGUGGUUACAGUUCAAGAUGGAGGUACUAUCUGAGCUUAUGGCAAGGGGUUUUAAUCUCAUCCAAAGGGCCAAGGAAUGCCUCUUUAAAGAAGAGAGAACAAAUAAAAAUCAUUCAUAAUUCCAUUACCUAUAAAUAA